UCACUGACCCUCGUACAUCUCACUCGUACAUCUCUCACCUCAACGCUCGAGAAAAAGUCACUAUCGGGCAUUGCUGUGUGUCACAUCAAACGCACCCCGAUGAGCUUCCACUUUUAGACCAAACUUGUCAUCUCUUUUGUUGUCGUCGUCUGUUGUGAGGUGUUUAAAAAUAGCGCAGCGUGCAUAAUGUCCCCCUUGAAUAAGACAGCAGCAGCUGGCCUUACGCGAGCUCAUCGGGCUACAUUUGCAUAAAUCGGGUUGGCAGGAGCUCAGCGGCUGCGGGGGAUCGGCCCGAGGACUGAAGGGGACCCGCUUAACACAGCAAAUGCUCAACGAGCACACAACUUGCCUGGGACACAUGUGUCUUUGAGCAAUGGAAUGAACACGGUUGCACAAACAGCUAACUCCAUCUGUUGUUCUUAUUACCUUCAAGCACACUACGUGUGGGAGGUUAUGCUUUGGUGGCUGUUAGUUAGUUAGUCGGUUAAGUCAGUCAGUCAGAUGGAGGAUUAAUAGAAAACAGAGUUGAUUCAGUAAUUAUUCAUUCGCAGGGUUGGUUAGUUGUUGAGGUACAGUGAAACUCCUCUACAACAAAAUUAUGUUUGCAGCAAGAAAUUUUUCACAACAGGGUUUUUUUCACUGUAGCAAAUUUGAUCUCAGAUGUAAACACACAUACACAGUGUAGAAAGAAAAAGGAAAGAAAUUGCGAAAUUUACGAUCAGCAUUCACUUUCACUGACAUGAAUUCCUUGGAUAAUGUCUUUUGUUUUGCUUCCUCCGUCUUUAAUUUUGAUCACAGAGCUCUUCUUGUCUUCUUGUCUUAGCUGCUUGACAUGCAAAGGUCCGUUUUGUAGCCAUUUUAGCAAUGCAACGUUCUUGCUGCGUCUGAAAUGAACAAUAACAAAUAUUCCCGGACUACUACGCAUGUGUAAACCAGUGUGGUGGUUGCUGUUGCCAUUUCCGAAUGAAGCAGUAGAGGGUGCUGUUGGAGUAGACUUCGUUGUAGUGAAUCUUGUCACGAGGCAAGAGUAGAGAAAAAGAUUUCGUAUAACGCAACAUGGUUUUUUUUCGUUGUAUGGGGGGCAGGAAAUUGGGAAUGGUGUUAAUGCAUGAAGAUUUUUUUUCACACGAGGAGGUAUUUAUGUCCACGUAGGUUUCAUUGUAGAGGAGUUUCACUGUAGUUAGUUGGUUAGCUUGUCAGAUAGUUGAAUGAUGGUUGAUAGACAACUCGAUCAGUUCACUAGUUAGUUAAUUAGUUAGUUAGUGCCAAAGGGAAAGUGAUUUGUUACUUGUUACUUAAUGUAAGUUGAGGGGUUCGCUGUUUAUGAAUGGAUGGCUCUACGUUAAGAACAGAUAAAAAGAGAGAUGGACUCCAUUUGAAUGCAGCUUUUUUUUCCAAACGCCUGCACCGCAGUGCGAUCGAGAAAAACGAUUCUUCCGCAACUGAAUCACUCCCUGCUUUCCUUUUCUUCAGCCAAUCAGAAGCAAUCAACAUUAAACAUGUCUAUGCAAUUAUUAAAAAACGUGAUUUUAAAAAAAAUUAGGUCAUCUUAACAUGAAAUAAUCUGAUACUCAAACAUAAAAUGAUAAUAAUUAAUAAUAUAAUAUAAAAUUACACUUAUGCUAAAAGCGGCACAAGGACUGGUUUUUCAUCAUUCAAGUCCACUUGAACUGGGGCCCACAUGCAGCCGAGAGAGACUUGGUUGAGUUUGUUCUUUGUUGGUUUGUGUGCGUGUAACUCUCUGUGACAAGAGUCCAAAGACACAACAAAGAAGGCAAGGAAUAAUAAUAAUAAUACAUUUUAUUUAUAAGCGCCUUUCAAGACACCCAAGGACACUUUACAAUAACAAAAAACACAAAACAAUACGGGUUGAGCAGCGGCAGCCAAAAUGCGUUCCUGUUCCCUUCCCUGGUCCCACGGUCGGUCACACGUGCCCAUGCACGCCUUGUGGCCUUAGGCCGAGGGUAAAGAUUAGGCUAAUUGAAUAAGCAUGAGAUAGGCAGACCCAGCAGGAAGGACACUCCAUGAUAAACAGCAGCUUACAACUUACAUUUACAAUGCAUGAAGAUCAUCACCAUCAGUCUCCGCUGCGCUACGCUAAAGUAGUCAAAGAGAUCGGAUUCAUGACAUGAUUUAAUAGCCGGGGACAUUAAGGAUGUCCACGCUGCUCUUACGAUUGCGGGCAGGCCGAGAAAGGUUGGCACUGCGAGGUCGGCGUCCUUGUCUCGUGCUAAUGUGAUCCUCUCUAAUUCUCCUUGUGCAUGACCUUUCAUGUACAAGAUGGCGGAGCGCGAUGGGAGCUUUUCUCCUACAGCGUGACCUCAUAAAGUCUCGCUGCAUUGCGAGCGCCAACCAGAUGUGGAUGAGCAACUGCAAAAAAAAAAAAAUAA